rnacentral:lncRNA from 1 species
GUUAGCCAGGUUGGUCUUGAUCUCCUAACCUUGUGAUCCUUCCACCUUGGCUUCCCAAAGUGCUGGGAUUACAGGCAUAAGCCACUGCACCCAGCCUCCUUUUUGUUUUUCAUGACAACAUUUCUGAAGUGUCUAAGCCAGUUAUUUUGUAGAAAGUACCUCAUUUUGGGUUUGUUUGAUGUUUCCUUGUGAUGAGUUCUUGUUGUACUAAUUUGGCAGAACUAUCCCAGAGGUAAUGCUCUGUUCAUCUCAGUGUGUCAUAUCAGGAGGUAUGUGAUGUCAAUUUGUUCCAUUUCCCGUGAUGUUAAUGUGGGUCACGUGGCUGAUUUGUUGCUAUGUCUGAGUCCUCCCCCUGGCCCAUGAAAUCCUUCUCAAGGUCAAAGAGAGACUCGGCCUGAUUCAUCCUGGCAUCAUGGUACCUGAGUACUUAGAAUGUUGGAAGGUGUGCUCAGUGAAGAUGAAUAAUUUGCCUAAGAACACUUGACUGGUGAAUCCCAUUCUCAUUUUUGCAGUAUCCAAGAGCUGGAUGCCUACAUGAUGCAGUCCACAGUGGCUGAGCACCUUCUGUCCCUGGGAUCUCAGACUCUGCCUGCCACAGAGCAGAUGACUGGAAAACCCUCCCCACUUGCUGUCAUCAUUCCUGAAAGGUCUUCAGGUGUGCCAGCAAUUUUCAGACUGAAUAUCUACACCAGAAAAGCACAUAACUACCAUGAGCAUAAGACGUGGGAGUGCCAUGGAGUGACCAUAGAAGUAUAGACAGUAAGAUCACAGCCAGAUACAACUUCUUGUUUUAUAGAUGAGAGACCUGAGGCCCAGAAAGAGGAAGGCACUUGCCCAUGGUCACACAGUGAGUUAGUGAGACUGGAGCCCAGCUCUCCAGGGUUCUGUGCUGUGCUAGUCACAGGCUGUUAGGCAAUUGGCUUUCCUGGGUUCUGGUCAAAUUCAUUUUUUGCCUACUCUGCUGCAUCUACACAGUCAGAUGUGAUUUGGGUUAAAGUUCAUUGAAUCAUGUCUAUUUCUUGUCUGUUCAGUUUUGUGGCUUCCUGGGUCUCUUUGACUAACUUCUGUUCUUUUAAAAUCCAAUAUGGUAUCAAUACAUGGUGAAAAUAUUCUCUGAAAACAGUCUGGCACUUCCUCAAAAAGUUAAACAUAGAGGUAUCAUAUGACCCAGCAAUUCUCCUCCUAAGCAUAUACCCAAGAGAACCGAAAACAUGUUCACACAAAAUAUGCACUCAUAUAUUCAGCAGCAUUAUCCAUAAUAGUCAAGAAGUGGAAACAAUCUAAAUGUCCAUCAACUGAUGAAUGGAUAAAGGAAAUGUGCUAUGUCCAUACCACGAGAUAUUAUGUGGCAAUAAAAAGGAACGAAGUACUGAUCCACGCUACAAUACAGAUGAACCUUGAAAACAUUAUGCUAAGCGAAAGAAGGCAGUCACUAAAGACCACAUAUCAUAUCAUUCCAUUUCCAUAAAAUGUCCAGAAUAGGCAAAUCCAUAGAGACAAAAAGUAGAUUAGUGGUUUAGGGGUUUUUAGGGGCUGGGGGUGGGGCAAUGGGAAGUGACUGCUAAUGGAUGUGGAGUUUCCUUACUGGCUGAUGAAAAUUAGAUAGUGGUGAUCGUUGCAUAACUCUGUGAAAAUAUAUAUAUAUAUAUAUACCAACACUUCAAAAGGAUGAAUUUCGGCCGGGCGUGGUGGUUCACACCUGUAAUCCCAGCAUUUUGGGAGGCCAAGGCGGGUGGAUCAUUUGAGGUCAGGAAUUCAAGACCAGCCUGGCCAAUAUGGUGAAACCCCGUUUCUACUAAAAAUACAAAAAUUAGCCAGGUGGUAGUGGCACACACCUGUAAUCCCACCUACUUGGGAGGCUGAGGCAGGAGAAUUGCUUGAGCCUGGGAGGCAGAUGUUGCAGUGAGCUGAGAUGGCGCCACUGCACUCCAGUCUGGGCCACAAGAGUGAGACCCUGUCUCAAAAAAAAAGAAAAAGAAAAGAAAAAAACAAGGAUAAAUUUUAUGGUAUCUAAAUUACAUUUUAAAAAAGAUGGUCUCUGAUUAAAACACAAGAAAAAUGAAAUUGGAGGAAAUCCACAAUGAGAAAAGUGUUACAAUGUGAAGAUAUACACUUCAGCUAGACUUCUAAAUGCCUAAAAAGAACAUUUAUAAGUAGGUUUUCUACUCUAAAAACUGGAGUGGAAUGGUGGAAUGUGUCCUGCCUUAUAAAGUAGCUACUCAGAUGUGAAUUAGAAUCCCAGUUCCUCUACUAACUGGUUGCAUGACCUUGGUCAAGUUACCUACCCUUCAUCAACCUCAGUUUCUUCAUCCAUUAAAUGGGAUAAUAAAGUCUCUCUUACAGGUAAUGGCAUGUACUGUGUCAGCAGUCACCCUGAGACUGCAGUGUUGGGGGCACUUUCGCUCUCAAGCAGUGUCUGGAAACUUUUCUGAGUGCUUCUUAAACUGUAGCACGCAUUGGAGUUCUUUCUUUCCCCUUAGCUUUUCUCAAACUCUGUAGGUUUAGUGACUAGUACAAGGCUUCUCAAACAAAAAUGUGCACAGAAUCACUUGGGAAUCUUGUUAAAAAUGCAGAAUCUGAUUCACAGGUCUGGGAUGGAGUCUGAGAUUCUGCAUUUCUAAAAAUCUCCCGGGCAAUGCUGUUGUUGCUGGUCCUUGGAAACACCUGACUAGUAUGGUUCUAUGUCACCGGAAAUGUGAAGCUAGAAUGAUUUAUAGAACCUUCCUUGAGUAGCAAAAUUAACUGGGUUUUAUAACUAAAAUACUUCACAAAAAUAUAGUCCAAAAUAGUGUCAAAAUUUUUUUUAAAGAUUCCUUUUAGAGGCUGGGCGCAGUGGCUCACGCCUGUAAUCCCAGCACUUUGGGAGGCCAAGCAGGUGGAUCACCUGAGGUCAGGAGUUCAAGACCAGCCUGACCAACAUGGAGAAACCCUGUCUCUACUAAAAAUACAAAAACUAGCCGGGUGUGAUAGUGCAUGCCUGUAAUCCCAGCUACUCCAGAGACUAAGGCAGGAAAAUCGCUUGAACCUGGGAGGCAGAGGUUGUAGUGAGCUGAGAUCGCGCCAUUGCACUCCAGCCUGGGCAACAAGGGGGAGACUCUGUCUCAAAAAAAAAAAAAAUUUAUUUCCUUUUAGAUAUUCACAGAAAUUUCUGCAGCCUUCUCUGAGGGUACAGAGUUAACAUGAAAUUCUAAUUUGAACCACAAAAAUUAAUAGCAACAUGUAUACUUGUAUGAAGUGUCAACAUUUUCCAAGUAUAACUUGCAUCUAAAAUCUCCUUUAUUCCACUUAGAACAGGUCUGGGAGGUAGGCAGAGUAUGAGUGAUUAUCUCCAUUUUGUAGAUGACAAACAUUGAGGUUCAGGUAGGUUAAGUGAUCUAUUAAGGCCACUUAGAUUGUCCCUGGCUGAGCUGGGGCGCAUGGAAGACCACACCUCCCUGUACCUGAGACCUGGGCCCACCCCCCUUAUCAUGACAUGUCACAGGAUUCUGUGCAACUUCAGAUCUUACCCUAGUCGUGGGUAUAUAAAUAAGGCAACUUUGGGGAUAGAGGCAAGAGAGACUGGGCGUGGUGGAUCAUGCCUGUAAUCCCAAUGUUUUGAGAGGCUAAGGCAGGAGGAUCCUUGAGGCUAGGAGUUUGACACCAGCCUGGGCAACGUAGUGAGACCCCAUCUCUAAAAAAAAAAAAUAGGCAAGAGAGAGGACCCCUAGCAAAGGGUAUCCUCAGAUAUGCAAGAUAAUAGAGCUAGUAAUAUUUCUUCCCUUCCUCUCCUUGGCCCCCACCCCACAAUUCAGAAUUUUAAAAUGUCACAGUCUUGCCUACACUAAAACAAGCAUGUUUGGGAUCCAAACACCCAUCUUGCUAUCUUCUUUCCCCUGCUGUUUACAGGAAAGCAGGAAGGCUGCAGGUCUCCAGCCUUCCUGUCAGAUGGUACACCACAGCCUAGCUGAUGCAGGCUCCAGAAAACUCUCAGGCCUUUGCAGGGGGAGUGGAGGGAAAACAAACUCUCUUCAGAGUUGGAGUUUCUCUCUGCUAACUCAAUAAGUUGGAUAUUCAUAAGUCUAAGAGUAUGACUUUCAGCAUUGUAGGUUUCAACCUGGGGAGGUUUAAAAAUGAAGUCUGUGCCCCACCCCCAGAAAUCUGGGAUUUUGAAAAGCUUCCCAGGCAUUCUAGCAUAUAGCCAGGGUGGCAAACUGCUGAACCAUGGUCAAGAAUUUCAAUAGACCCCACCUCCUACCCUGCUCUACAGGCGGGUUACUUCUAUCCACUCUGUCCCACACACAGAGAUUAUGCUCACUCUGAAUUGAAAUGUAUAAAUUCCACUCCUCACAAAUGAGGUCACGUGUGUGAAGCAUGGGCUGGAAAGGAGAUGGUUCAUCUCUUGGCUUCACCACUUGCUAUUAGCAAGGCUAUACAGGGAGGGAGUUACAGGCACAGGCCUUCUGGGCCUGCAUCCUGACUCCACUGCUAACUAAUUUAGUGACUCCGGACACACUGCUAAGCCUUUCUAAGCCUCAGUUUCCUGAUCUAUGAAAUGGGGCUGUGGGUUGUUGAAGGGUUGCAGGGCUGGGAAGAGAGCACAAUGGCAUGGCCUGAGCAUGAGUGUCUCUUUAUAUUUCCCAGCCUCAACACCUCACUUUCCUCACCCUGGUGACUGUUCUAAGAGGAUGCAGGAGUUGACUAGGCCGGGCGCAGUGACUCAUGCCUGUAAUCCCAGCACUUUAGGAGGCCGAGACAGGAGGAUUUCUUGAGGCCAGGAGUUUGGGACCAGACUGGGCAACAUGGCAAACCCUGUCUCUACAAAAAGUACAAAACUUAGUUGUGCAUGGUGGCGCCCAUGGUCCUAGAUACUUGGGAGGCCGAGGUGGCAGAAUCACUUGAGUCCAGGAAGUCAAGCCUGCAGUGAGCCGAGAUUGCACCACUGCACUACAGCCUGGGCAACGCAGUGAGACUGUCUAAAAACAACAGCAACGACAAAAUAAAAUAAAUGUUGACCGGUAGCAGGAGAGGGGUCCAGCACCCAUCUCCUAAAUCUGCUGGCCCACUCUACAUAUUAUUCCACCCAAUCAAAUUAAAUUGCAUUUCUUCCUAUGUAAGCUCACGUCAACAACCCGAUUCCAUCCUUCUAUUCCACUUCACUCCCCAUCCCGCCCAGCCCUGGCAGCUUUCCUAACUGGUCAAAGCAACUGAAUUUCAUUCAGUUCAAUUAUUCUAUAUCCCUCUACUCAUAGAGUUGCCAGAUUUAACAACAACCACAACAACAAGAUACAAGAUGCCCAGUUAAAUUUGAAUUUUAGGUAAGCAUUGAGCAAUUAUUGUAGUACAAACAUGUUCUGUGCUAUAUUCAAAUUUGUAUUUGAGAUCUUUUAAAAUAAAAAUUCCAAUUUCAGCAAAAUGUGCUUUAUCUGGCAACCCUACCCUAAUAUCACUGCUUGGGAAGAGUUGGCUCUGUGCCUCUGGGGCUUUUUCUCUCCCACAUUAUAGCGCUUGGAUUGUAAGACAAAUUAUAACUGUUUCCCUGCAGACUGGGAGCAAGUAGGAGACAUGUAUGCACUUAAUAUUUCUUUUUUUAAAUUACUUAGCAUAGUUCCUGGUACUAUUUGUGGAAGGUAGAAAGAAAGGAAAAGAGGAAGGGAGAGGCCGGGCGCAGUGGCUCUCGCUUGUAAUCCCAAUACUUUGGGAGGCCGAGGCGGGUGGAUCACAAGGUCAAGAGAUCAAGACCAUCCUGGCUAAUACGGUGAAACCCCGUCUCUACUAAAAAAACAAAAAAUUAGCCGGGCGUGGUAGUGGGCGCCUGUAGUCCCAGCUACUCGGGAGGCUGAGGGAUGAGAAUGGUGUGAACCCGGGAGGCGGAGCUUGCAGUGAGCCGAGACCACGCCACUGCACUCCGGCCUGGGUGACAGAGCAAGACUGUCUCAAAAAAAAAAAAAAAAAAAAAAAAAAGGGGAGAAAGGCAGAAAUGAAGAGAUGAAGGGGAAGGGUGUUCCCAGGUCUGAAGCCCCAAUAGUACCUUUCAAGAAUGGGACUCGAGUGGUGGCCUUGGCCCCUUCUAUCUCAUUCUAAUGCCCGCAGCUCUGGUCAGGGCAGAAAUCUCUGUGGCUCUAUGAAAGAUUGUCUUGGGGCAAUUAUCUUGGUGCGCACAUUGUUGGCUUUAACAUAUGGGACUGUAUGGUGGACGCACCUGACGGCGAUGCAUAACCUGAGAAUGACACUGUAUGGCAGACGCACCUGAAUGCAGUUCCGAGCUAAGGAAUCCAGGAGUGGCCAACCCGAGUCAUUCCUUAUUUAGGAGCAACAUCUGAGCCCCUGGCCCUUCCUGUGGAAGGCGUACAGGAAUUUGAGGCCCUUCGUUCUGGCUUAAAUGAAGGUUGCCAGGUGGAGGUUGUUAGGGGGAGGGUACUAAGUGAAAAUGCUAUGUAAACUACAUGCCUUUUGCAAACAGUUGCGGUUCUCCUGUCCAGCCUGCCACCACUGGACUCUUUCCCCUGUAUGUAAGCCCUUAAUAAAACCCCAUGUGGGGCCGGGCACGGUGCCUCACGCCUGUAAUCACAAUACUUUGGGAGGCUGAGGCGGGCGGAUCACGAGGUCAGGAGAUCGAGACCAUCUUGGCUAACACAAUGAAACCCC